AAGGAAUAUUGGUCAAUGGACGCAAGUCUGAACCAGCCAUGCCGCGUGAAGGAUGAAGGUCCUCUGGAUUGUAGACUUCUUUUAUCUGGGACGAAAACGGGAUUUUUAUCUCAAUUGACGGUACCAGAGGAAUAAGCACCGGCUAACUCCGUGCCAGCAGCCGCGGUAAUACGGAGGGUGCGAGCGUUAUCCGGAUUUACUAGGUUUAAAGGGUGCGUAGGUGGGCUUAUAAGUCAGUGGUGAAAUCUCUGAGCUUAACUUGGAAACUGCCGUUGAUACUAUAGGUCUUGAAUUAUCUGGAGGUAAGCGGAAUAUGUCAUGUAGCGGUGAAAUGCUUAGAUAUGACAUAGAACACCAAUUGCGAAGGCAGCUUACUACAUAUAAAUUGACGCUGAGGCACGAAAGCGUGGGGAUCAAACA
rnacentral:rRNA from 1 species